AUCGCUUCUCGGCCUUUGGCUAAGAUCAAGUGUAAAAUUUGUGAAAUUUCUUCCACUAUAUUUUAAAAUCCCUGGAAACAGUAACUAUUUGGUUGUAUACCACCUGUUUCUUUGAGUAAUCUAUAGUCCUUGGAAAGGACUUUUCAAAGAGUC
rnacentral:snRNA from 1 species